rnacentral:lncRNA from 1 species
UUCAUUAUUAAUGUUCUUUAUUAUUUCUUUAAAUAAAAGUUACAAAAUUUCCUAAUAAGGCUAAAAUAUAUAUGGCAAUUAAUCAUUUUGAAUAAUAAAGAUUUGAUAAAAUUUAAUGUAUCUUCUAUCAUAAUUGUUUAAUUUUAAACUAUUAAAAUAAGUUAAACAACCACAUUAACUAUAUAAUAAAAAUUUAGAUUUUUCUGUAUAUGUUAUAAUUUAAAUUUUAAAAACGACUAUAAAUUACUAAAACUGUUAAAAGUCUCACAUUUAAAUUUUGUGAUCCAUGGUUUAAAAUUUUUGUUAUGAAAAAAUACAAAUUUUUACAAAAUUAUAUAAGUAAAAGGUCCAAUUUAAUCAAUUAUUAAUAUUAAAAGAUAUAUAUUUAUAUAUCGUUUUAAAAUUUUAAAAUGGUAAAUUUUUUUAAAACAUAGUUUCAAAAAUAAUUUUCGAAUUUCAAACUAAAAUUUGAAAAAAAGGGCAAAUCUCCAAACUAGCACAUUUCUAAGUUUAUGUCACAAAAAUAGCUCUUAAAAACUAAAAUGACCAAAAUAACAUUUUAUCUUUUGAAAAAUUUAUUUAUUUUUUAUUUUUCAAAAUUUGAAAUCUUAUCCCAAAAUCUCACUCUCCAACUCUAAACCCUAAACCCUAAACUCUAAACCUUAAACCCUAAACCCUAAAUCCUAAACCCCACCCCUUAACUCUAAACCCUAAACCCUAAACCCCACUCCUAAACUCUAAACCUUAAAUCAUAAACUCUAAACCCUAAAUCCUAAACCCUAAAUCCUAAACCCUAAAUCCUAAACUCCACCCCUUAACUCUAAAUCCUA